rnacentral:misc_RNA from 1 species
UCCUAGUUUCCUAGGCAGUCUCGCUAGAGUGCCUCCCUUUCGAGAGGAGCAACUAACGACAAGGGUUGCGCUCGUUCAAGGACUUAACCCGACGUCUCACGACACGAGCUGACGACAGCCAUGCAGCACCUGUGUAACCGUCCGUAUUGCUACGGAACCCAAUGUUUCCACCAGUAGCAGUUACAUGUCAAGCCCAGGUAAGGUUCCUCGCGUAGUUUCGAAUUAAACCACAUGUUCCACCGCUUGUGCGGACCCCCGUCAAUUCCUUUGAGUUUUAAUCUUGCGACCGUACUCCCCAGGUGGACCACUUAUCGCGUUAGCUUCGACACAGACUCUGCAGUGCAAAGCCCACAUCUAGUGAUCAUCGUUUACGGCGUGGACUAC